UUUCUGAAACGGUCUAAUGCAAUGCUGGGCAAAACGCUACUCGCGAGUAGCGUCUGCGUCGCAGCGCUUAUACGUAUACAGAAACGACGCAGCGAAUUUCAAUUCAGUCUGCUUUCAGAUUUCAUGAGAGUAACAUUAUGCUUCGCCGUUGAAUAUUUUUAUUCGUAAUUUUAGCGCGUGGUUGCCACCUAUAUAUGUAACAAUGCCCAAAAUGUCUGAGUAUGAGUGCCAAUUACAGUUUUCGGUUUUAAAAAAAGCUAAUAACGCCCAAUGCUUGUUGUGUGGUAAUACGACCAUUAACCAUAAACAAAUGAAAAAAACGCUCCACUCAGUGCAAUUAUAGAAAAGUGCUUCUCAGCGCGACGCACUAGGGCACACAUUGCAUACUUUAUUUUAUAAUAUUUUUUUUAUCAAAAGAAAUCGAUAGAGAAAUGUAAAUGCUGGUUUAUGCCCAAAAAUACUUAAUGAAUAAUAUUUAUAAGUUAUACUCUAUUUUUAAGACUAAAUACCUACUUAUAUGAAACAAGUAAUUUUUAGCAAGAAAAAAACCGACUUCAACUCUCAUAUAAA